AACCUGCAGCAGGUUUGAGUUGAGCGCAGCGAAACAACGGAGCCGCUCGCGGCGACGGCCCGAAGGGCGAGCGAAGCGAGUCAUCCUGCACGACCCACCA
rnacentral:sRNA from 2 species